GACGAACGCUGGCGGCGUGCCUAAUACAUGCAAGUAGGACGCAGUUGCGAACGGGUGAGAAACGCGUAGGUAACUAGCUAUUAGAGGGGGAUAACAACUGGAAACGAUAGCUAAUACCGCAUACUAGUAGAUGGAGCUGCGUUGUAUUAGCUAGUAGGUAGGGUAAGGGCCUACCUAGGCAAAGAUACAUAGCCGACCUGGGAGGGUGGUUGGCCCAACCUGGACUGAGACACGGCCCAGAACCCCUAGGGAGGGCGCAGUAGGGAAACUUCGGCAAUUGGGGGAAACCUGAACGAGCCACGCCGCGGGGGUGAAGAAGGUUUUCGGAUCGGAAAGCUCUGUUUUUAAGGAAGCGUUACUUAACCAGAAAGCGACGGCUAACUCCGUGCCAGCAGCCGCGGUAAUAC
rnacentral:rRNA from 1 species